GUGCUCGCUUCGGCAGCACAUACACUAAAAUUGGAAUGAUACAGAUUAGCAUGGCCCCUGUGCAAGAAUGACAUGCAAAUUCGUGAAGCGUUCCAUAUAUUU
ensembl:snRNA U6 U6 spliceosomal RNA